CUCUAGCCGCAUGUUGGAUAAGAAAAGUCCACCAGUAACAGUGCUGCCACAGCUUGUGAAGGGCUAUGCAGUGCUCCCAACUUUAAUUUCAAUUGGGGGGGCACUGCAUGCCCCCCCCCCACUAGUGAUGCCACUGUGUGACAGGAAUAAGGGGGUUAAUGUGGCAGGAUUAGAUUAAUGUGAAAGGGUGAGUGUGGCAGGGUUGGGGGGGAGAGUGCUACAGGCUUUGUGGUGAGUGUGGCACAGUUGGAGGACAGAAUUGGAGGGGUUUAUGUGGUACGGCGAGUGUGGCAGGGUGAAAGGGGUGUGUGUGACAGUGUUGGAGACUGAGUGUGACAGUGCAAGAGAAGGUUGAGUCAGACAGGAUUGGGGGGGUUAAUGUGAUAGGGUAAGUGUGGUAAGAGAAGGGCAGGUGAGUUUGGUAUGGCUGGAGGGGGUGAGUGACAGGAUUAGGAGGGUUUAAUGUGAGUGUGGCUGGGUGAAAGGGGUGACAGUGUGUGGGGGCUGAAAGUGUUUGGGAAUG